GUCCCUCUCUGCUUGUACCAGUUUGUCUUUCAAGUUUUCUCAGUGAGUUGUGUUCCUGGUUCUUUCUUUGUUUCCGGUCCUUGGAUUUUCCUGUUGCCUGCCUGCCGCAUCUCCUGCUUUUAUUUGGACUCUGUAUGGUGCGUGCCGUACUUGCGUGGCUCCACGACCUCCUCUGUGACAUAGUUGAGGAAAUUCCAGCCGCUGUAGGCGAAGGAGGCCUGAAGGAAGGCCAACGCUAUCUGUCCCACUGAGGGAUCCUGACUGAAUUCAAAGGCCACGCUGGGCCUCAGGGCAUCAUAGUGACCUGGAGAAGUGGAGAGGAGGGGACGUGUGGAUGAAACCGUGAAAAUAUCCAUUAUUUGGACGAGUCCGACCACUAUGAUGAGUACCAAAGCGAGGAGUUUUGCUACAGUGAAAACAUCCUGGAUCCUCGUCG